GUACAGUUCCGGUUCCCCGCGUCCGUGUCCGCGAACUUCCGCGUGGCCCCGGUGCGGGCGCCGGCUUGGGUUAGCUCGGAAGGGGUACCGCUAAGUCCGGAGCAGGCAUCCUCCCCUUGCGACGCCCUGGUUUGCAGCUCUGCGGAUUUUCUGCAGGCAGCCGCCCCAAGAAGCGGGGGAUGGGGGCGGGAGCCCGUGCGACCCCCCCGCCCCGGAGGGGUGUGCGGGAAGCCGCUCGAGCGCCGCCCGCGGGCUAGCCUCGGGCCGCGGAGGGCGGCUGAGUGUGGAGGAGACCCGGCCCUGGAGGUGAGACGCUGGGCGCGUUGAGGCCCGGAGGUCGCCGCAAGGAGCCCAUAGCGGUGGCCCGAGCCCACCCUGCUGUACCAUUGAGCGGGACUGAGGGGCCCGAAGUGCCCUUCCAGGGGGAGGGGCCCAGGAUCGAGACCCCGCCCUCCAAGCACGUGGCCUGGGGAAUGGGGGAGCCCUUUAAGAAGACCUGAGUGACUCACGGGGGAAGGGACAAGGGUACUCAAAGAUCUCUGUGAGACGGCGGUGCCAAGAGUCUCUGAGGAUCUGCCUUGCACCUACUCCACUCCCUUCUCCAACCGGGACAUCCAGCAGGGGAGAGUUCCCCCUCAGGGAAGACUCCUGCUCCGGGAUCUAUUCCCAGACGGAGGGACACACAGGCACUGUUGCCUGUGACACAGGCCAUGGAGCUGAGGAAUAGAGACUACCAUGUGGAGCGGCCACUGAUGAACCAGCAACAGCUGGAGGAGCUGGGGCAACGGACUUCAGCCACCAGGACCUACCAGUGGCGAACCUGGUUUCAGUGCUCCCGUGCUCGGGCCCGAGCCCUUCUGUUCCAGUACCUCCCAGUUUUGUCCUGGCUACCCCGGUAUCCCUUGCGUGAUUGGCUCCUGGGCGACCUUUUGGCUGGCCUGAGUGUGGCCAUUAUGCAGCUCCCACAGGGCCUAGCCUAUGCCCUCCUGGCUGGACUGCCCCCUGUGUUCGGCCUCUACAGCUCUUUCUAUCCUGUCUUUGUCUACUUCCUGUUUGGCACUUCCCGGCACAUCUCCGUGGGCACCUUUGCUGUCAUGUCUGUGAUGGUGGGCAGUGUGACAGAAUCCCUGGCCCCGGAUGAGAACUUCCUGCAGGGUGUGAAUGCCACCGUGGAUGAGGUGGCCAGAGACCACUUCCGGGUGCAGCUGGCCUCCACGCUCAGUGUCCUUGUCGGCCUCUUCCAGGUGGGGCUGGGUCUGGUCCGCUUCGGCUUCGUGGUUACCUACCUGUCGGAGCCCCUCGUCCGAGGCUAUACCACAGCCGCGUCCGUGCAGGUCUUCGUCUCACAGCUCAAGUAUGUGUUUGGCCUCCAGCUGAGCAGCCGCUCUGGGCCGCUGUCCCUCAUCUAUACAGUGCUGGAGGUCUGCUCGCUGCUGCCUCGGAGUGUGGUCGGCACGGUGGUCACUGCGUUGGUGUCAGGGGUGGUACUAGUGCUGCUGAAGCUGCUCAGCGACAAGCUGCACCGAUACCUGCCCAUGCCGAUCCCUGGGGAGCUGCUCACGCUCAUCGGGGCCACAGGCAUCUCCUAUGGCGUGGGCCUGAAGUCUAGAUUUGGGGUGGAUGUUGUGGGCGACAUCCCUGCAGGGCUCGUGCCCCCAGCGGCCCCCAGCCCCCAGCUGUUCGCCAGCCUGGUGGGAUAUGCCUUCACCAUCGCUGUGGUUGGUUUUGCCAUUGCCAUCUCCCUGGGGAAGAUCUUCGCCCUGAGGCACGGCUACCGGGUGGACAGCAACCAGGAGCUGGUGGCUCUCGGCCUCAGUAACCUCAUUGGGGGCAUCUUCCAGUGCUUCCCCGUGAGCUGCUCCAUGUCCCGCAGCCUGGUGCAGGAGGGCUCUGGGGGCAACACACAGGUGGCUGGAGCUGUCUCCUCCCUCUUUAUCCUCAUUAUCAUCGUCAAACUUGGGGAGCUCUUCAGAGAUCUGCCCAAGGCUGUGCUGGCGGCUGCCAUUAUCGUGAACUUGAAGGGUAUGUUGAAGCAGUUCACCGACAUUCCUUCCCUCUGGAAGUCAAAUCGAAUGGAUCUGCUCAUCUGGCUGGUGACCUUUGUGGCCACCAUCUUGCUGAACCUGGACAUAGGCCUGGCGAUCGCUGUCGUCUUCUCCCUGCUCCUCGUGGUCUUCCGCACGCAGCUGCCCCGCUACUCUGUCUUGGGGCAGGUACCAGACACGGAUAUUUACCAAGAUGUGGCCGAAUACUCAGAGGCCAGGGAGGUCCCAGGCGUGAAGGUCUUCCGCUCCUCGGCCACCUUGUACUUCGCUAAUGCUGAGCUCUACAGCGACGCGCUGAAGAAGAGGUGUGGUGUGGACGUUGACCACCUCAUCUCGAAGAAGAAGAAGUGGCUCAGGAAGCAGGAGCAGAAGCUGAAACGGAUGCAGAAGACCCUCCAGAAACAGACUGCUGCCUCCGAGGGCACUUCUGUUUCCGUCCAAGUCAACACCAACAUCAGAGACGUGGAGAGCAACAAUGUGGACGACUCCACGGCCAGGCAGGCGAGCGCAGGGAAAGAGCUAGAGGAUACAACAAGCAGCGGUCAAGAAGAUGCCAAGGCCGCAAACGGGUCCACACUGAAGGCCCUGGGCCUGCCUCAGCCACACUUCCACAGCCUCGUUCUGGACCUGGGCGCCCUCUCCUUCGUGGACACUGUGUGCAUCAAGAGCCUGAAGAACAUUUUCCGCGAUUUCCGAGAGAUCGAGGUGGAGGUGUACAUGGCUGCCUGCCACGUGGUUCCGCAAGUCAGGGGAGACCUACUCCUUGCCCACAGCUCCUGUGGUCUCCCAGCUUGAGGCUGGGCACUUCUUCGAUGCAUCAGUCACUAAGCAGCAUCUCUUUGCUUCUGUCCACGAUGCUGUGCUCUUUGCCCUCCAGCACCCGCGGUCCAGCCCUGCCAGCCCUGUUUUGACAACCAAACUCUGACAGUGCCUCCGCCCUGCCUACCACUGCUCACCUCUGGAGGCUGUGACCAGGCGCUUAUGAGAAACUCCCUGCCCCCGGGCUGCCUCCAGACGUCACCCAGGAGUCCCCUCCAUAUACACACACACACAAGCUCAGGGAUGGAGGUCCUGGAAUUCCCAAGUUCAGUGCCAUAGGCCUGGGCCUGGGAUGGGGCACUGGAGUCAGACCGGCACCAGCUGGGCUGGGGAAAGAUCCAUGUUUUUAGCCCCAGAAAUAAACACCUGUUUGCCUACCA